UACAGCUUCAAACCACCAAGAACUAUCCAAAUCCAGUGACUGAAGAGUGUAAUGGCGCUUCCGAGAGCAUGUUUGGCGAAGAUUUUGUCACAUUGUAAUCCAAUGUUUCUCUCCCUCUCACCUCUUACCCUGCACCACCCCAACCACCUCUCUCUUCAUACAACACACUCUUGCUCACUCUCUGCGUCCCUUUCCACUUCGUCACUCGAGCCUCACUCUCGCUGGAAACCCACGUGCUUGUACCACUCCCAGGGAAAGUGCACCAAGAUGGAUGAUCCUAUCCACCUGGAGACGUUUAAUCAUGAUUGCUCCAAUGAGCUUCAAGUGAACAUUGCUGAGUUGAACAAAAUACACCCUCAGGAUCUGGACUUUUUCCUUGUGCUUGAUUUAGAGGGUAGGGUUGAGAUUCUUGAGUUUCCAGUUCUAAUGAUUAGUGCAAAAACAUUGCAAGUUGAAGACAUUUUCCACAGGUUUGUGAAGCCCUCAAAAAUGAGUGAACGAAAAAUAAACGAAUACAUUCAAGGGAAGUAUGGAAAAUUUGGAGUUCACAGAGUUUGGCAUGACACAGCCAUACCAUUUACGGAAGUUAUUCAACAAUUUGGAACUUGGUUGAUGCGACAUCAAUUGUGGAUGGGCGAGGAACUUAAUCGAGCAGCAUUUGUAACAUGUGGAAAUUGGGAUUUGAAAACAAAGGUCCCUCAGCAAUGUGAAGUGUCAAAGAUAAAGCUUCCUCCAUAUUUUAUGGAGUGGAUUAAUCUCAAAGAUGUCUAUCUGAACUUUUAUAAUAGGAGGGCCACAGGAAUGGUUACAAUGAUGAAGGAACUGCAAAUACCAUUGGUGGGAAGUCAUCAUCUUGGCAUUGAUGACGCUAAGAACAUAGCUAGAGUAUUGCAGCACAUGCUUCUUGAUGGUGCACACAUCCAGAUUACUGCAAGGAGGAAUCCAAGGACCCCUCGAGAUGUCAACUUUCUUUUCAAGAACCGUAUUGGAUAGUGUCUAUUAAUUCUUUGAAUCCAAUCGGAUUAGAGAUGAACUAAGAAACAGAUUUUAGAAAAAGGAUAUCUUGAGCAAUUUCAGUAGGUUCAUAUAUAUCAUCAGUGUUGGAGGCAAAAAAAGGAAGAAAGUGGAGAAAAAUAUCUUAGAUGGAUUGAGAAAUUGUGCAGUGUGAUGCACACUAAGUUUAGAGAAAGUGCACAAUCCUUAGGUUUGCUUCCAAAUGGGCCCUUGUAGUAAGUAUAAACAAGCAUUGAUGGGUUACAGAAGAAAGGUGACAAUAAACAAACUCCCUCAAAGCACAAUAAAAACCCUAAGAAGAAAGGUGACACGCUGGUGGAGUAUCUACUUAGGUGUGUUACAGAAGGCACAGAUAGAGAGCUUGGAAGAAGGAAAAUCUAAUUUCGAUGGGUUUUUUUUUUUUGGUUCGUCCCUGGAGUAUCCACCGCCGACAGCAGUGACUAAUCUCCUCGCUAUGUUGGAGGCACCUCAAAGGGUGGGAUAGCUGGCCCCAAGAUUUAACGCGGUUGCAUACAUAAGGCAGGAUUAAUUUCGAUGGGUUUGUAAGAAGGAAAGAAGGUAAAAUAAUUUUAGCAAUUUUGAUGUAUUCGUAAGAGGGAAAGCUAAAGUAUAAUUGAGAGGGGAAAAAAAAUAAAAAUUAUA